CAAGCUGCUUAUUCUUGAUUUUUUGUUUGUUUGUUUGUUUGUUUGUUUGAUUUUUGAGAGGGAGUCUGGCUCUGUCGCCAGGCUGGAGUGCAAUGGCUCGAUCUGGGCUGUCUGUAACCUCCGCCUCCUGAAUUCAAGCGAUUCCCCUAACUCAGCCUCCCGAGUAGCUGGGACUACAGGUGCCCGCCACCAUGCCCGGAUAAUUUUUUUGUAUUUUUAGUAGAGACGGGGUUUCACCGUGUUAGCCAGGAUUGUCUGUUAAGAAGUAAAAUUUUAAAAAAUGU
rnacentral:lncRNA from 1 species